rnacentral:rRNA from 1 species
GAUGAACGCUGGCGGCGUGCCUAAUACAUGCAAGUCGAGCGAACAGACGAGGAGCUUGCUCCUCUGACGUUAACGGCGGACGGGUGAGUAACACGUGGAUAACCUACCUAUAAGACUGGGAUAACUUCGGGAAACCGGAGCUAAUACCGGAUAAUAUAUUGAACCGCAUGGUUCAAUAGUGAAAGACGGUUUUGCUGUCACUUAUAGAUGGAUCCGCGCCGCAUUAGCUAGUUGGUAAGGUAACGGCUUACCAAGGCAACGAUGCGUAGCCGACCUGAGAGGGGGAUCGGCCACACUGGAACUGAGACACGGUCCAGACUCCUACGGGAGGCAGCAGUAGGGAAUCUGCCGCAAUGGGCGAAAGCCUGACGGAGCAACGCCGCGUGAGUGAUGAAGGUCUGCGGAUCGUAAAACUCUGUUAUUAGGGAAGAACAAAUGUGUAAGUAACUAUGCACGUCUUGACGGUACCUAAUCAGAAAGCCACGGCUAACUACGU